rnacentral:rRNA from 1 species
AUGAUCAAUGGCUCUUUAGGACGAAGCAUCAAGUCUAAAAGCGGGUUAAGGCAGGGGGACGCUAUCUCGCCAUAUUUGUUCAUCUUGGUAGCAGAUGUGCAGCAGCAUCUAUGCCGCUUGGAGCACAGCUCGGGGAGAUUAAAAAAACCAUUGGGCGUGGAUGCUUUCUUCCCAACACUUCAGUACGCGGAUGACACGCUUAUUCUUUUCCAGGGGGAUGUUGAACAAGCAAGGAUCAUCAAGCAAGUGCUACAGGACUUCUCCAGUUUCACAGGGCUGCAAAUAAAUUUCUCAAGAAGCACUCUAGUCCCUAUAUGUGUGGAUCAAGAUACUAGUACAGAAAUUGCCAAACUGCUGCAAUGCCCGAUAUCAGCCUUCCCCUGCACUUACCUUGGACUCCCGUUAUCAUUUCACAAGAUCUCACAUGGUCUUCUGAUCCCUGUCAUACACAAGGUAGACAAACGCUUGUCAGGAUGGCUUGCAACUUUUCUAUCCUGGGAAGGCCGAGUUACCCUCAUAAACUCGGUCUUGGCGGCCAUUCCCAAUUAUUUCAUGGCCUGCUUUCUAUGGCCAGCGAAAUCAAUGGACAAGCUGGAGCAAAUUUUGAGAGGCUUCCUUUGGCAGGGUAAAAAUUCAGUUAAGGGCGGGCAUUGCUUGGUUGCAUGGGAAACAGUGAUCACACCCAAGAAUAAUGGAGGUUUGGGCAUUAGAGACCUCAGGGAUCACAACAUGGCAAUGAUAUGCAAACUCAUGUCUAAUAUUUUGCAACACAGUGAAGUCCCAUGCUUCAACUGGUUUGUCUCAUAA